CCGCGUGAGUGAUGAAGGUUUUCGGAUCGUAAAGCUCUGUUGUUAGGGAAGAACAAGUGCAAGAGUAACUGCUUGCACCUUGACGGUACCUAACCAGAAAGCCACGGCUAACUACGUGCCAGCAGCCGCGGUAAUACGUAGGUGGCAAGCGUUGUCCGGAAUUAUUGGGCGUAAAGGGCUCGCAGGCGGUUUCUUAAGUCUGAUGUGAAAGCCCCCGGCUCAACCGGGGAGGGUCAUUGGAAACUGGGAAACUUGAGUGCAGAAGAGGAGAGUGGAAUUCCACGUGUAGCGGUGAAAUGCGUAGAGAUGUGGAGGAACACCAGUGGCGAAGGCGACUCUCUGGUCUGUAACUGACGCUGAGGAGCGAAAGCGUGGGGAGCGAACAGGAUUAGAUACCCUGGUAGUCCACGCCGUAAACGAUGAGUGCUAAGUGUUAGGGGGUUUCCGCCCCUUAGUGCUGCAGCUAACGCAUUAAGCACUCCGCCUGGGGAGUACGGUCGCAAGACUGAAACUCAAAGGAAUUGACGGGGGCCCGCACAAGCGGUGGAGCAUGUGGUUUAAUUCGAAGCAACGCGAAGAACCUUACCAGGUCUUGACAUCCUCUGACAACCCU
rnacentral:rRNA from 2 species